rnacentral:misc_RNA from 1 species
GAAACGCGAUAGUUAAUGUGAAUUGCAGAAUUCAAUGAAUCAUCGAGUCUUUGAACGCACAUUGCGCCCAUAGGUAUUCCUUUGGGCAUGUCUGUUUGAGCGUCAUUACAACCCUCAGCUAACCGCUGGUUUUGAACCUGAACGGGUGACACCGCGCCGGUUUUAAAGUUGUAAGCUCUGCUGGCCGCUCUGCCCAACCAGAACAUAGUAAGCACUACUUGUCCGGGUGAAGCUGAACGGUACGGCCUGAACAAAACCUACCCACUCUCAAGGUUUGACCUCAGAUCAGACAAGGAUACCCGCUGAACUUAAGC